rnacentral:rRNA from 1 species
UUAUAGUAAUAAAAGGUGAAAUUGGUUUAUUAGGAAUAAAUGGAAGUUGGAUUAUAAAUAGGAGGAGACUCGGAAAUUAAGGUAUAAACUAGGAUUAGAUACCCUAUUAUACUUAAAAGAUAAAAAUAAAACUUGAAUAUUAAUAGAUAUGGUCUUUAAAUUCAAAGAAUUUGGCGGUAUUUUAGUCUUGUUAGAGGAACCUGUUCUGUAAAUGAUACAACACGAAAAAUCUUACUUACUCUUGUUUAGCAGUUUGUAUACCGUCAUUAUCAGAUAACCUUUGUUGAGGUAGUUAUUGAAAUUUGAGAAGUAAAGUAUAUUAGAUCAAGGUGCAGUUUAUGGGUAAGAAGAAAUGGGUUACAAUAAAAUUUAUUUAUUACGAAUCAGUAAAAGAAUAGUUUCUGUGAAGGGGGAUUUAAUUGUAAUACAUAAUUUAGUAAGUUAGUGUGAUAUGAGAACUAAAGUAUGUACAUAUCGCCCGUCGCUUCCGCUUAAGGUGAGAUAAGUCGUA